rnacentral:rRNA from 1 species
AUUGAACGCUGGCGGCAUGCCUUACACAUGCAAGUCGAACGGUAACAGGUCUUCGGAUGCUGACGAGUGGCGAACGGGUGAGUAAUACAUCGGAACGUGCCUAGUAGUGGGGGAUAACUACUCGAAAGAGUGGCUAAUACCGCAUGAGAUCUACGGAUGAAAGCAGGGGAUCGCAAGACCUUGUGCUACUAGAGCGGCCGAUGGCAGAUUAGGUAGUUGGUGGGAUAAAAGCUUACCAAGCCGACGAUCUGUAGCUGGUCUGACAGGACGAUCAGCCACACUGGGACUGAGACACGGCCCAGACUCCUACGGGAGGCAGCAGUGGGGAAUUUUGGACAAUGGGCGAAAGUCUGAUCCAGCAAUGCCGCGUGCAGGAUGAAGGCCUUCGGGUUGUAAACUGCUUUUGUACGGAACGAAAAGCCCCGGGUUAAUACCCUGGGGUCAUGACGGUACCGUAAGAAUAAGCACCGGCUAACUACGUGCCAGCAGCCGCGGUAA